rnacentral:rRNA from 1 species
UACAGAGGUCUCAAGCGUUGUUCGGAUUCAUUGGGCGUAAAGGGUGCGUAGGCGGCGCGGUAAGUCGGGUGUGAAAUCUUGGAGCUUAACUCCGAAACUGCAUUUGAUACUGGCGUGCUUGAGGACUGGAGAGGAGACUGGAAUUCAGUGGUGUAGCAGUGAAAUGCGUAGAGAUCAUGAGGAAGACCAGUGGCGAAGGCGGGUCUCUGGACGAAGCUUC